rnacentral:rRNA from 1 species
AUUGAACGCUGGCGGCAGGCCUAACACAUGCAAGUCGAGCGGAUGAAGGGAGCUUGCUCCUGGAUUCAGCGGCGGACGGGUGAGUAAUGCCUAGGAAUCUGCCUGGUAGUGGGGGAUAACGUCCGGAAACGGGCGCUAAUACCGCAUACGUCCUGAGGGAGAUAGUGGGGGAUCUUCGGACCUCACGCUAUCAGAUGAGCCUAGGUCGGAUUAGCUAGUUGGUGGGGUAAAGGCCUACCAAGGCGACGAUCCGUAACUGGUCUGAGAGGAUGAUCAGUCACACUGGAACAGAGACACGGUCCAGACUCCGACUGGAGGCAGCAGUGGGGAAUAUUGGACAAUGGGCGAAAGCCUGAUCCAGCCAUGCCGCGUGUGUGAAGAAGGUCUUCGGAUUGUAAAGCACUUUAAGUUGGGAGGAAGGACAGUAAGUUAAUACCUUGCUGUUUUGACGUUACCAACAGAAUAAGCACCGGCUAACUUCGUG